UGAAAGCUGAAACUUAAUUAUAAAUUGUUUGAGCCCUAAUUAUAUAUGCCCAAUCGAUCCCUCUGUUAUGGGCCCGAGCCAUUUGGAAGAUACCACUCUGGAAGAGCUAGAAUUCUAACCUUGUGUCAAGACCUACAAGCCAAGGGACAGUCUCAAGUAAAUAGUUCCUAUGGGGCGUAGGCUUCUAAAAAGGUAACGAAGGUGUGAAAAGGUUUCCUCGGGUUUUACAAAGGUUGGCCAUUGAGUGCAAAGGCAGAAGGGAGCUUGACAAGAAGACCCACCCGUUGAGUAGGGAUGAAAGUUGGCCUUAGUGAUCCGACGGUGCCGAGUGGAAGGGCUGUCGCUCAAUAAUUAAAAGUUACUCUAGGGAUAAUAGGCUGAUCUUCCCCAAGAACUCACAUCAAUGGGAAGAUUUGACACCUCGAUGUCAACCUCAUUAAAAAAAUAAAUUGCGUGUAGAACCAAA
rfam:Gossypium raimondii Chr01_contig_882, whole genome shotgun sequence.